AGAAGAUGGAGGCACCAGCCCAAGGAAACACAGACAUUGACACGCAAUUCAAGGAGAAGAUUGCGUCCUACUUUUUCCUUGGGAAGGUGGUUUCUCUUCU
rnacentral:pre_miRNA from 1 species